CAGGAGUCCGGUGGAAAGGCAAUCUCUAGGGAGGGACUGUUGGUAGGUGUCUGAGAGCUGCUCAUUUCCCCAGCCGCGGCCGGGGCUCUGCCCAGGAACUCUCCCAGUCCCGGCCCGAGGCUCCUUCCCGCGCAGGGAGCACAGAGCAGCCAAUGGGAGCGAGGCUGAGCAGGGGCUGGGGAAACCCCGUGCCGCCCUCACGGCCCCUCGCCCGGGGCUGCGCCAUGGCGGGGCGACGAGAGCCCGGCACACCACAGACCUGCGAGAGCAUUUCUGGCCACAGCCAAGACUUCUUGCAGGUUUGCUGAGGAGGAGAUGAGGUUCAAUCCAUCCAGACUCCCCCACUUCCUUCUGGGAGAGGACCACAGGAGAGAGCAUUGACACAACAGUGGAGGAGAGAGGAAGAGGAAAGCAACCAGUGCAAUGAUGUCCACAGGUCUGCAGGAGCAGGGCUCUCUUCUCAGCAGCUGCAAAGAAGUGGAGUAAGAAACUAUCUGAGGGACAAUGACUCCCGUUUCUGACACUGUCACUCCAGCCCUGGAUUGCACCAACGUUGCUGAAGCUGACACUUUAAUAUAAAGCAACUUGUGCAUUGCAGCAAAGAAACUAAACUAAAUCAGAGCACUUAUCUUGUGUAAACAUGACCUUCAUGUCCAGCAUUCAUUUGACACUCUCUGCUAAAACAACUCUACCUCCAACUAAAAUCAUCUGAAAUGAGGGCUUUGAACUGCUGGCACCAAGACUGCAGCUCCAGAGGGACUAAUAAAUGUAUAUGGUUUCCCCUU